UACGUAGGGGGCAAGCGUUGUCCGGAAUCAUUGGGCGUAAAGCGAGCGUAGGCGGCCCGAUAAGUCUGCUGUAAAAGUCAACGGCUCAACCGUUGAAAGCCGGUGGAUACUGUCGGGCUAGAGUCCGGAAGAGGCGAGUGGAAUUCCUGGUGUAGCGGUGAAAUGCGCAGGAUAUCAGGAGGAACACCAAUGGCGAAGGCAGCUCGCUGGGACGGUACUGACGCUGAGGCGCGAAAGCGUGGGGAGCAAACAGG
rnacentral:rRNA from 1 species